rnacentral:rRNA from 1 species
GACGAACGCUGGCGGCGUGCUUAACACAUGCAAGUCGAACGGAGUGGCGAACGGGUGAGUAACACGUGGGUGACCUGCCCUGCACUUCGGGAUAAGCCUGGGAAACUGGGUCUAAUACCGGAUAGUGUGGGUGGGGCCCGCGGCCGAUCAGCUUGUGGGUGGGGUAAUGGCCUACCAAGGCGGCGACGGGUAGCCGGCCUGAGAGGGUGGACGGCCAAAUUGGGAAGGAGAAACGGCCCAGACUCCGACGGGAGGCAGCAGUGGGGAAUAUUGCACAAUGGGCGGAAGCCUGAUGCAGGGACGCCGCGGGGGGGAUGACGGCCUUCGGGGUGUAAACCGCUUUCAGCCAGGACGCGGUAGUGGCAGAAGAAGCACCGGCUAACUACGUGCCAGCCGCCGCGGUAAUUC